rnacentral:rRNA from 1 species
CUAUGGUUCCUUAGAUGGUACGUACAGUUACUUGGAUAACUGUGGCAAUUCUAGAGCUAAUACAUGCAAAUUGAGUUCCGACCGCUGUAGCAGGGGGAAGGAAUGCUUUUAUUAGAUCAAAACCAAUCGGAGUUUCUCCCCAGCGCGGGGGAUCGUCCGUUACGCCUUGGUGACUCUGAAUAACUUUGAGCUGAUCGCACGGUCCCGCACCGGCGACGCAUCUUUCAAAUGUCUGACUUAUCAACUUUCGAUGGUAGGAUCUGCGCCUACCAUGGUCGUAACGGGUAACGGGGAAUCAGGGUUCGAUUCCGGAGAGGGAGCCUGAGAAACGGCUACCACAUCCAAGGAAGGCAGCAGGCGCGC